GUCACACCCGUUCCCAUACCGAACACGGAAGUUAAGCUCUCUAGCGCCGAUGGUAGUUGGGACCUUGUCCCUGUGAGAGUAGGACGUUGCCAGGC
rnacentral:rRNA from 8 species